ACCAGUAUGCCGACAUAUCGUAGAGUCUUCUUUUCUUUUUUGAGUUCGACACAUCGUAAAGUCACUCAUGAUCAUGAAUGAGUCAUGUAUAUGAUACAUGAUAAAUUUACUCUCCAUAACGCGAGACAUUCUCGUGGCCGUGGGUUUUUCGUAAUUGCCACGUAUGCAAGUGUAAUGAGAUUCAUGUGAGCGAGCGUAGCCGAUCUCGGCCACCCGGCGAACUCAUUUCCAUUUCCCAAAUCGCCAUCUGCCAGAGCUCCUCCCCGACUAUAUAUAGAAUUGAAGAAGGCGGGAAGCAAACGCUGAAGCAUUCUUUAGAGUGAGAAUCUCAUCGUCGAGAGAAAAAUGAGGAACGACAGUGGUGAUCGGCGUAUGGUACCGCGUUUUKGCCGGUAGAUUGGUGCUUUCAUCUAAGUAGUACUUUUAUCUUUUGUCUCAUCGGCGCUGCCGCCACUACUUUCGCCGUGAGUUUUACGCUAUUCAGAUGCUUUGAUGCUUUCAAGAAUCGUAGCAUGGGAAGCUUUGGAGCAUUUUUAUCUCCGGYCUCAUCGGCGACACAGCCUUCAUUAUCGCCUUAUUCGGCAGGUCGGUUAACUUCGGAGGUCUGCUUACUUGAGUUAAUGCUCAAGUACAGUUAACUUGGUUCUAAACUAUUCCGUGUCUUUCUCUUGCUUUCGGAUUGAAAGAUCUCGGUCUCGUUCCGCCUGAUUGAGUUUGCAAUCUGAGUGAGAAUAGUGAUUUUUCCUUUUCAAAAAGAAACAAAGAAAACUUCUGCAAUACAGGUUGACUAGAUUACAUCUCCUGUGAUGCUUCUUCACAUCCUGUCCUAUUUGGUACUCAAUUGUUCGAUGAAGCUUUUAUUGCCGUGAUAAUACUUGGAGUUGGAGGAGUUAUUUGCCUAUCAGGAGCGUCUAAGACAGAUGCAGUGUUCUCUAUUGAGAGAGGAACAGAUAUAAGAGAACUUGUGAUGACUCGUCAGGAAAUGAUCCAGGGCUUAUGAUACAACAAUUCCACCAAGAUAACUGGUAUCAGGGACUGACCCAUGUCCCAGCAAUUGAUAGACUGACGAUACAGAGACUCCAAGCGACAGUAUGAGACAUUAACACAACACUACUGAGACAGCAGUCCGAGCCAACUGGCCAGGACAAUAAAUGUGUGACAGGAAACCUUUGCUAUUAACUCAUGAAGAAUUCAGGCUUGGCGUCUACAGAACGGGAGAAAAAUAGUUUCUGGACGCUGGCAUCACACACAUCUCCAUCCAAAGAAAAGAAUAUGAUUAGUA